AGAAGAAGAAGAAGAAGAAGAAGAAGAAGAAGAAGAAGAAGAAGAAGAAGAAGAAGAAGAAGAAGAAGAGUUUUACAGAUCCAGUAGCACCUGUGAAUGGGUGCCAUUUGUGCCUUUUCCACCUGAACUUGGAAGAUUUCUGCUGUGAGAUUUCCAGCUGGCUGAGAUGGGCAGAGGUCCUCUCUCACCAAACCCAGCCAGCUGCAUCGUCCCAGAGCUGGUGGCUGCAGGAAUUCCUCAGAGACCCAGCCAGACCCUAUUGCAGCACCUUCCCAAGGCAGAACACAGCACGGAGUAAAGCUCAGGAAGAUUUCUGGGUGCUGCAACCUGAGCAGAGGGAUCCAGCCUCGCCAUGAAACCAUCCUGGGGUUCUGAGCACUGAUGCUUUGAGCUUUUCCAGAAGUGGCCAGAGAGGCAAACAUUUCUCCUGCUGGUGAACAGAAGGGGUCAGGCCAGAGGUCUCCUGGAGAGCCCCUGGCACCACCAGCAGCUCCCAAAGCUUCCAGGGCAGACACAAAGGUUAAAACUGGAAUUCCCAAACAGCCACUCACAGCCUUCUCCACCUCCUUGGAGGAGGGGGUGCAAGGCUGGGGCUCGUGGUGGUUUGGAAUAAAUCAUGCCAAGUGUUGCUGAAGGACCAAAACUCAGACUCGAUGGAAGCCAGUGAAAGCAGAUUUCACAUCAACAAAAAACUUCUGCUCCCCAUGCACUGGGCUGGGAGCUGUUAAAGGAGGAAUUUGUUCUGCUGUAUUAAUGUUCAAGGCUUUCCAAUUUACACACAGAACACAAGAGAGUUCCUGGCUGGGCCACCCAGCACCACUGGGCACAGGGGCUGGGGGCACCAAACCCAGCUGGGUGCUGUGAGAAGACCCCUGAGCUCACGAAUCCGCAAACCAAGACCUCCAAGGAACAGGGGCUCUGGAGAUAUUGCAGUCACAGUUAAUGAAGUCCUUAAUGAACUGACAGGCCUGGCUCUUAUCUCACUUAUGCCAGAUUUAAACCUAUGUAACUCCAUUAACUUGGUUACCUCUGGAGGUGAUUAAUCCUGGCCUCUUGUGCUCAGCCAGUUCUGCUGAACUUUCUCUGCCUGCAGGACUUUACUUUCCACUUGAACUCUGGAAGAUCAGCUUUACCCCAAGGAGACACACUCUGUGUACACAGAGAAAAUGAUUUCAGAUGU